rnacentral:rRNA from 1 species
ACGAACGCUGGUGGCGUGCUUAACACAUGCAAGUCGAACGAAGAGCGACGGAAGCUUGCUUCUAUCAAUCUUAGUGGCGAACGGGUGAGUAACGCGUAAUCAACCUGCCCUUCAGAGGGGGACAACAGUUGGAAACGACUGCUAAUACCGCAUACGAUCUAAUCUCGGCAUCGAGGAUGGAUGAAAGGUGGCCUCUACAUGUAAGCUAUCACUGAAGGAGGGGAUUGCGUCUGAUUAGCUAGUUGGAGGGGUAACGGCCCACCAAGGCGAUGAUCAGUAGCCGGUCUGAGAGGAUGAACGGCCACAUUGGGACUGAGACACGGCCCAGACUCCUACGGGAGGCAGCAGUGGGGAAUCUUCCGCAAUGGACGAAAGUCUGACGGAGCAACGCCGCGUGAGUGAUGACGGCCUUCGGGUUGUAAAGCUCUGUUAAUCGGGACGAAAGGCCUUCUUGCGAAUAGUGAGAAGGAUUGACGGUACCGGAAUAGAAAGCCACGGCUAACUACGUG